AUGGAGAAAAAAAUUCAAACUGUUGCCCGGAUUUCUUACUCUGUUAGAAUCCUUAUAGCAAACUACACUUCUGCGGCCGCCCCUAAAGCUAAGUGGAAAACAGGAGGAUGGGAAUUAUCGCCUAGAGGACACGUGAAAUUGAAUGUUGAUGCCUCCUUUAACCAUGAUUUGCUCGAAGGGACGGCAGGUGCAAUAAACAUAGAUGACAGAGAGGCAAAUAUGGUCGCCCAUGAACUAGCAAAUUUGGCUAAGAGAUCUUUAUGUAAUAGUUUCUUCGAGGAGCCUCCUAGAGAACUUAUCCCACUUUUACUCAGCGAUAUAACUCUUCUAACACCGUAA
rnacentral:rRNA from 1 species